GAACUGAAGAGUUUGAUCAUGGCUCAGAUUGAACGCUGGCGGCAGGCCUAACACAUGCAAGUCGAGCGGAUGAAGGGAGCUUGCUCCUGGAUUCAGCGGCGGACGGGUGAGUAAUGCCUAGGAAUCUGCCUGGUAGUGGGGGAUAACGUCCGGAAACGGGCGCUAAUACCGCAUACGUCCUGAGGGAGAAAGUGGGGGAUCUUCGGACCUCACGCUAUCAGAUGAGCCUAGGUCGGAUUAGC
rnacentral:rRNA from 1 species